rnacentral:rRNA from 1 species
CGGAAUGCUUUACACAUGCAAGUCGGGCGGCAGCGCGGGGGCAACCUUGGCGGCGAGCGGCGAACGGGUGAGUAACGCAUCGGAACGUACCCUGGUCGUGGGGGAUAACUAUCCGAAAGGAUGGCUAAUACCGCAUACGACCUGAGGGUGAAAGCGGGGGAUCGCAAGACCUCGCGCGAUAGGAGCGGCCGAUGCCGGAUUAGCUAGUUGGUGAGGUAAAGGCUCACCAAGGCGACGAUCCGUAGCUGGUCUGAGAGGACGACCAGCCACACUGGGACUGAGACACGGCCCAGACUCCUACGGGAGGCAGCAGUGGGGAAUUUUGGACAAUGGGGGCAACCCUGAUCCAGCCAUUCCGCGUGAGUGAAGAAGGCCUUCGGGUUGUAAAGCUCUUUCGGCAGGAACGAAACGGCGGGCUCUAACAUAGCCUGCUAAUGACGGUACCUGAAGAAGAAGCACCGGCUAACUACGUGCCAGCAGCCGCGGUAAUACGUAGGGUGC